rnacentral:rRNA from 1 species
UAAUACGUAGGUGGCAAGCGUUAUCCGGAUUUACUGGGUGUAAAGCGGGAGCAGGCGGCUUUUCAAGUCGAAUAUAAAAUCUCCCGGCUUAACUGGGAGGGAUUAUUCGAUACUGUUGGGCUUGAGGGCAGCAGGGGGAGGUGGAAUUCCCGGUGGAGUGGUGAAAUGCGUAGAUAUCGGGAGGAACACCAGUGGCGAAGGCGGCCUCCUGGGCUGUUGCUGACGCUGAGGCCCGAAAGCGUGGGGAGCAAACAGGAUUAGAUACCCUGGUAGUCCACGCUAUAAACUAUGGACACUAGGUAUAGGGAGUAUCGACCCUCUCUGUGCCGAAGCUAACGCGCUAAGUGUCCCACCUGGGAACUACGGCCGCAAGGCUA